GACGAACGCUGGCGGCGUGCUUAACACAUGCAAGUCGAACGCUGAAGCUCAGCUUUUGUUGGGUGGAUGAGUGGCGAACGGGUGAGUAACACGUGAGUAACCUGCCUCCUUCUUUGGGAUAACGCCCGGAAACGGGUGCUAAUACUGGAUAUUCACUGGUCUUCGCAUGGGGGUUGGUGGAAAGGGUUUUUCUGGUGGGGGAUGGGCUCGCGGCCUAUCAGCUUGUUGGUGGGGUGAUGGCCUACCAAGGCUUUGACGGGUAGCCGGCCUGAGAGGGUGACCGGUCAGAUUGGGACUGAGAUACGGCCCAGACUCCUACGCGAGGCAGCAGUGGGGAGUAUUGCGCAAUGGGCGCAAGCCUGAUGCAGCGACGCCGCGUGAGGGAUGGUGGCCUUCGGGUUGUGAACCUCUUUCGCUCAUGGUCAAGCCGCAACAAUGGUUGUGGUGAGGGUAGUGGGUAAAGAAGCGCCGGCUAACUACGUG
rnacentral:rRNA from 1 species